AGUUAUUCUGCUUUUUUUCUUGCUGCAGUUUGCAGAUAUGUAAAAAAUGGAAAUGUGGACAUGAAAAAUGUUAUAAUCAACAUAAAAAAAUAAAAAUAGAUAUUCAAGAAAUUUUUUUUAACAAAUUUUAAUAAAAAAAAAUUGGAUUUUAAUAUUUAAUCCCGAAAUAGGGAGUAAAUAUAAUCUAUGUUAAAAAUUACCCUAAUUAUCUUUUUAAUUUAGCCCAGAACUCCAAACCAAACAAAUUAAUUUGUGAUGUACCCACCUUUAAAGCCCAGCCCAGCCCAGCCCAGCCCACUCCCUUCAUUAAUUUAAAAAUAUUCAGAAUUUUCCUUUUAUCAACCCGACUGCCCGUUGCCCCUUCCCAUUCAAUUCCUUUCUACAUCUGUUUUAGUGUUUUGGUCGUUCUUCACUGGGGAUUGUUGCUUGUUGGUGGUGACGCAUUUUGAGGAUUCUAUCUUGCACACUUGUGGGUUGUUCUUCGUGUUCUUCCUUUGGUGAUGGAGAAGUGAGUGUUGAGGAAUUCAUCAGGAUAAUGAAGAGGACAACAUAUGGAUACUGGGGUGGAGUUCAGCACAAUGUUGACAGCCCGUCCUAUGCUGAAGGGGUUGGUUCAGUCAAUGCUGUAGCUGUAGUAUGUUCGAGGAAAUAAACUUUGUUUUUUUUUUUUUUAAUUAUUUUUUUAAAGAAUGAUUUAUGAUGUAAUUAGUCGUGUAUACUGGACAUAUAUUGUAAAUUCUCUUUAGUAUGUUGACUAAUCUGAUUUGUCUUUUCAA